UACGUAGGGUCCGAGCGUUGUCCGGAAUCAUUGGGCGUAAAGAGCGUGUAGGCGGCUCGGUAGGUCACGUGUUAAAGCCUGCGGCUCAACCGCAGAAUCGCACGUGAAACCACCUGGCUAGAGUCCGGAAGAGGAGAGCGGAAUUCCUGGUGUAGCGGUGAAAUGCGCAGAUAUCAGGAAGAACACCCGUGGCGAAGGCGGCUCUCUGGGACGGUACUGACGCUGAGACGCGAAAGCGUGGGGAGCGAACAGG
rnacentral:rRNA from 1 species